UGACCGUUCAGCCAGUCUUUCUUCCUCUUCCUCUGCUACCUCCAUACCAGUGUCUAUCUUCAGUAACCGCCAGACUUCAUGGCCAGGGUGUGUCAGUGUAGGCACUCCAGCAGAAGUAACCUGCAGAGACCUGCAUCAUUCAGAACAAAAGUCACCAACUAGAACUUUAAACACAUUUCUGCGGUCUGAGCCAACAGCACAUCUAAAAGAAAAUGACCCAAAAAACAGCUUGUCUACUUUGAGUUCAAAGUCAAAAUUAGGAACAUCUACCUUUAGUGAUUGGAAGAGCAAGGGCCUGGAAUCCUUCAGCAUUUUCAAAAGCACAGCGAAGGGACACUCACUUCCCCAGUCAGUAUUUCAGAAGCCAACAGGAGGUGGACAGUGU
rnacentral:lncRNA from 1 species